CCCGUUGUAGUCCAAUGGUUAGGACAUGUGACUCAGUCCAACAAGACUAAAGUUCUCACAAGAUCCUGGUUCAACUCCAGGCAAUGGGU
rfam:Naegleria gruberi genomic scaffold NAEGRscaffold_47, whole genome shotgun sequence.